UCCGAAUUGGUGUAGUGGCCAACAUUUCACGCUCUCAAGCUCUAAAACGAGCAGCACCGUGGAGCCCGGGGUUCGAUUCCCCGAUUCGGAG